rnacentral:rRNA from 1 species
CCUACGGGUGGCAGCAGUGGGGAAUAUUGGACAAUGGGGGGAACCCUGAUCCAGCCAUGCCGCGUGUGUGAAGAAGGCCCUCGGGUUGUAAAGCACUUUCAGUGAGGAAGAACGCCUGGUGGUUAAUACCCAUCAGGAAAGACAUCACUCACAGAAGAAGCACCGGCUAACUCCGUGCCAGCAGCCGCGGUAAUACGGAGGGUGCGGGCGUUAAUCGGAAUUACUGGGCGUAAAGCGCGCGUAGGUGGCUUGAUAAGCCGGUUGUGAAAGCCCCGGGCUCAACCUGGGAACGGCAUCCGGAACUGUCAAGCUAGAGUGCAGGAGAGGAAGGUAGAAUUCCCGGUGUAGCGGUGAAAUGCGUAGAGAUCGGGAGGAAUACCAGUGGCGAAGGCGGCCUUCUGGACUGACACUGACACUGAGGUGCGAAAGCGUGGGUAGCAAACAGGAUUAGAUACCCCGGUAGUC